UCCCCAGCAUGUUGCAUUUCCGGCAGGGCCCAGGCAAUCACAUUUUGACACUGUUUCCAAAAGGAAAUUGAAAACUUAAGAAGAAACAGUAUCUACCUCGACUACAGGUGUGGUCCAUGCCCUGACAGUGAAGGGGGUGAUGGCAGCAGGAAUCUACCUUUUCAAUGGGCCAUUGUCUUGCUCAUGACCUUCUGGGUCAACCCAGAAGCCCAAGGCAGCAGUUUCCAAGUUCCCGGAGUAUGACUUCAUCGCAGGAGAAGACACCAAGGUGCCCAGGAGAACACCAGAUGACAUCAGACUCUCAAAUUAUGAGGAAGAGGCUGUGAAUGCCUAAGAGGAGAACUGGUUUUACGGCUUUGUUUGAUGUCAGUGAUGCAAGGGACUGAUUCUUACUGGGCAGGGACCAUGCUGUACUACACACAGGCUUCUCAAAAGGACUGUAGCAAUGGCAUCCAUGGUACAGAGAAUCUAAGAAGAACUGGAGUUUUGGGCCCAGCUGGGCGUGGAGCGAAACUGUCGGAUUAGCCUGAGUUUAGGUUACAA